CAAAUACCUGGGAUCUUACCUCUCAAAGAGGAUGCAGUUUGUGGUAGGGAACAGUGUCGUUGUUCAAACAUGGGAUCAGAAGGACCAUGAUUACCGUUAUUAUUUUGGUGAAUUAAUUUGACCGUGUCCUUGACCAAUUGUUUCUUAAAAGCUGGGGUUGGGAUUAAAACUAAAAUCUCCUGCCAACCCAGAUCCUCUCCAGAAAUGUAGAAAUGAGGAACAGUUUUGUUGUUGAAUGACCAUUAAGUCAAGACACUGUUACGCAUUAGCACGGGGACCACUAGUGAGACUGCAAAGAGAGAAAAGGACCUCAUCUUUUUAUCCAGCUCAACACAGAUAAUCCAGUGAAGGAUGGCGGCUUCUCUGAGCAGCUUGGAAGGGCCACGGUGAAGUUGAACGGAGGGCCCGUCAGCCUGGGUCCCCGGCCUCCGCUGCUCACUUGUACUACUGAAUACCGUCAUGUCUAAAAAUCAAAUACUCGAACCCAGUUUCCCACCUCAACAAAGAAAAUGAGACAGUGCUCCCGAAGUGUCUUAUGAAUGACAAAUCUUUAUUUCAAAAGACUUUUUCUAACAUAAAUGGGCACACUGAUGUUUAGACAACUUUUUGUAAGACUUGGCAGAUGGGCGAUGAAUCCCAGAGUCCAGCGAACCUUCUUUGGGGAUCCACCAAGAAUACCUCAGCCAUGAGGGAGGGGGGUAUAAAAGUUAACGAGCAAGAUUUGCCCGUAAUAAUUAGCUUCAGACACCAGACCUUCGAGGGCAACAGCUAGCACCUCUCCUCCAUGUCCCCGUCACGGAGUUCUCUUCUGUGAUUUAGCAGUCGCUGUCAUUCUCCCAGGGGUUUUUCUAGGUCUUUCAGGUCACAGAAGGGGAGGUACAGUGACCACUGUUCCCUGGAGGAUGACAGAACGGGCAGAUGGGCAGCCCCUGGCAAGGGGUGAGCUUCCUGGAGGAGAGGGCAGUUUCUUCACGGGCACAUGCACCAUUGGGUGGGUGCUCAGGACAAACUCUGAUCGCAGGUCUCCUUGUCCACAUCAGCACCGAGGCUGCUGGAUGGGUUGUCGUGCGCCAGUUGGCAGGAGGAUUGGAGGCUGGUUCAGAAGGCCCGCUCAGCAUGGACUCAGCCUGGCCACAGCCCUGCCACGUGAGGCCCAGAUCAUAGCUGACCUCCCUCCUGUUUAUUUCACUCAGCAGUGACGUUGCUUUCUUUAGGAUCCCCAUUGCCCUGACCAGGAUGGCACAUCCAACCCGGAGAUUUGCAAAUCCGAGUGUGCGUCCAUGAGAAAGUUAAAUCAGGCCCCACCUCAGUUCUGUUAGAAUCUAUGGGGCUGGGUCCAGGCAUCUGUAUUUGAAUUUCUCCAUGUGACCCUCACGUGGAAAGGACGGUGUUUGUACAGCACUUCUGCUUCACUCUGCUGAUAUUUCUGCCCUGUCGCUACAGCCACUGUGGUGAAACCGCUCCACAGGAGGAGUUUCCCCCAAACAUGUCACACCCAAUGUGGGCUCUUUAGUCCACUUUUGAACAACGUACUAAUGUCUUAAGAUGUCUUAACAAUGUCUUAAGAUGGGCGCUGCCUAGAUGUGACCUAUCUAGACAAGGUGGCUAUUUCCUGCACUUUGUACUUGCAUGUGCUCCCCAUCUUCACAGAAACAUCAUAUUCUGUCUUGAAUUGGAGAGUCCUCCAUGUCGCCUUUUUGUGCAUGUGGUAUUUUAUUCAUAGGAUACACAAAUGGUAGUGAAAUUUCUGGGUCAAGAGUGAUACACAUAGUUAAAAAUUUGUUCCGUAGAUUAGAGUUUCUCAACUGCAAUUGAGGGGCAGACUUUAGGCAAUCCACAGACUCCUUGAGAUUGGAGACACCAUGUGAAGUGUCAGGGUAUAUGUGUGUGUGUGAGCACAUGCACGGUUUUCCAUGGUCUUAGGUGCUCAAAAUGUCCCUUGACUCAAAGAUGCCUGAGGGUAGAGGCUGUGUGUCCCCAGCACAGAAUCCUGAGCAGAGUGUCAGGAAACACGGAGCAGAAGAGCUUGGCCAAAUUGAGUGUUUGAGUAACUUCUUAAUCCAGAAGUCAAUGUACCUGGGAUGGUUUUUACAUACUUAUUUCACUCUUGUAAGGUCUUCCCAUUUCCGCUUCCCCUCAGUGUUCCUCCUCACUCUCCUCCCUCCCCCACAGACUAUGCUCUGAAAUAGGAUCAGGAAGGAGGGAGAGAGUCCAACGUGUCUCCAGUCUAGAAUGGAGAGAACAGGGCAUCUGCUGGGGAGGGAUGACGAGGCAUCCGGACCCCUGGAGGAUUGGCUGAGGAGGAUGGUCAGAGGUGGGGUCAGUGGCAGGAGUUCUCGCUUACCCCUGAUCUCCAGGAGAAGUGCACACAUUGGUUUGGCAGUUACUCGCAUUUUCCUUCAAACUGGUUGCCAG
ensembl:lncRNA